AAUAGUGCGAUGAAGAGACAAAGUAAAAUAGAUAAAUUGUUUUACAGAGAAGAUGAGCCUUGGCUGUGAGCUCGUCCAAAAUAAUCCUAUUUGAAAACUAACUUGGAGCAGAAUUUAGUAGCAUGUAUAUGCGAAAGUAUUCGGUUGACAACCUUAUAGUCAUCAAGAGGAUAUGUAUAUUAUAUAUAUCAACUUGGGUGGAACCACGAGAUAUAACUCGUCCCAAUU
rnacentral:ncRNA from 1 species